CUAUGGAACAGAGCAGAGAUACCAGCUGUGUAUUUUCUGAAAAAUGUUAGUGCAUGUUAAGGAAUGCAUACUUCAGCUUUUAUAUGAUGCAUAUCAGAUUUGAUAUCCUGGCUCUAUUCCCCUUCAUAUGAACCAGCAUCUUCAUGGCCGGCCAGCUGACACGCACUGGGACGUUUGCCCAAAAUUACCGGUCACGUUAACUACAGCAUAGAUGGACUUGCUGAGGUUGGCUCUGCGGUGCGGCGGCGCGAUACAGAGGGCAGCUAAUAGCUUUAAUCUACAAAGAUGACUUCCGCAGACCACCCAAGAAGGCCAGCACGUCAACUUCGGCGAAGUCGGCCACUCUCAGGUACACUGGAACCCAAUUUGGCCGGCGUUCAAGACGUAGCUACCUCAUUUUCCCCCCAGCGCUAAAGUUAAAUGAAUGGCCCAGUCGAAAUCACAGAGCUCCUCCAGCUCUUAAUUUGGCCGAGGUGCCGCGGUAACGGGAGCCUGGCUCACAUUACUGAUGCACAGCGAUGCCGGUCUCCCUCAAGUCAUCAGGGCGGCGCUCGGUGAUUUCUUAUUCUGGCCUGAUUCGAUCUAUACUCGCCAGGUCUGUUUGCAGCCAUCCAUCGAGCACA